GAGUUCUGUAGUGUGUGUGUAUGUGUGUGUGUGUGUGUGUGUGUGUGUGUGUGUGUGUGUGUGUGUGUGUGUGUGUGUGUGUUUGAGGGGCUUGUCUGAAUGUUAGCCGGUACGAGCGAGUGGCUGCUGCCGCCGGUGGCACUGCUGUGGUCUCCACGGUAACCCCUGUUUAAAGGCUGCUGUGUGUCUCUAAGGAGACGCUGAGGCAGGUUGGCAUUAUGGGAUGCUGAGCCACACAGACACAUCGGCAAGCAGACGAGAGAUGGGAAAUAGGUACAGUAUUAGUACAGCUUCAUCUGAUCACAGCCUGUAUCUAAUGUGAUUGGUCUCGUGUGUCCUGCUGAACGAGGAUGCUGUAAAACAUUCCAACAGACCGCUCUCAGAGGCGCAAUUAAGAAAAUUAACGACGGCUGCAUUCUGUUUCAGGAUGAGAAAAAAAAGGACGAAAGGACGAGGAGUUCUGUGGGAGUGGGCGAAAAUGGACGUCGAGAAGGAAAUGAGGCGGUUUCUUCUUCGUUUGCCUCGUCAAGGCCCCUGGGAUACACCGGGCUGCUAUUUGAAGCCCAGGACCUACUUUCACCACUACCAUGGGCCCUGUCUUAGAUGCACAAUUUAUAAAAGAAAAGAAUGAGAUGGCGGGAGAAUGAGACGGAGAUAGAGGAGAGUUUUGUGGCUGACUGUAAACCGUGACAAGUACUGCUUGAGGAAAUCUUCGUCCCAGAGCAGGUCUGCAUCACAUAAACGUGCAAUCAGGCCAAUUACAUCCAACAGGACAGCCUCUAUCUUUCACUUACAACGAGAACAGCGGUGAAGGUUAGCCACGUGAUGAGUUACUGACUUGUCCUGGGAGUCUGCCUGCCUUUUCCCCCCCAAAGCAUGCUGGGUCCC